rnacentral:rRNA from 1 species
GAUGAACGCUGGCGGCGUGCCUAAUACAUGCAAGUCGAGCGAACGGACGAGAAGCUUGCUUCUCUGAUGUUAGCGGCGGACGGGUGAGUAACACGUGGAUAACCUACCUAUAAGACUGGGAUAACUUCGGGAAACCGGAGCUAAUACCGGAUGAUAUUUUGAACCGCACGGUUCAAAAGUGAAAGACGGUCUUGCUGUCACUUAUAGAUGGAUCCGCGCUGCAUCAGCUAGUUGGUAAGGUAACGGCUUACCAAGGCAACGAUGCAUAGCCGACCUGAGAGGGUGAUCGGCCACACUGGAACUGAGACACGGUCCAGACUCCUACGGGAGGCAGCAGUAGGGAAUCUUCCGCAAUGGGCGAAAGCCUGACGGAGCAACGCCGCGUGAGUGAUGAAGGUCUUCGGAUCGUAAAACUCUGUUAUUAGGGAAGAACAUAUGCGUAAGUAACUGUGCACAUCUUGACGGUACCUAAUCAGAAAGCCACGGCUAACUACGUG